AUAGCCUUUCGAAAGAAAGAUUAAUACCUGAUAGUAUGGUGAGAUUGCAUGAUAACACCAUUAAAGAUUUAUUGGUAAACGAUGGGGAUGCGUUCCAUUAGGUAGUAGGCGGGGUAACGGCCCACCUAGCCUGCGAUGGAUAGGGGUUCUGAGAGGAAGGUCCCCCACAUUGGAACUGAGACACGGUCCAAACUCCUACGGGAGGCAGCAGUGAGGAAUAUUGGUCAAUGGGCGAGAGCCUGAACCAGCCAAGUAGCGUGAAGGAUGAAGGUCCUACGGAUUGUAAACUUCUUUUAUACGGGAAUAAAGUUUCCUACGUGUAGGAUUUUGUAUGUACCGUAUGAAUAAGCAUCGGCUAACUCCGUGCCAGCAGCCGCGGUAAUACGGAGGAUGCGAGCGUUAUCCGGAUUUAUUGGGUUUAAAGGGAGCGCAGACGGGAGAUUAAGUCAGUUGUGAAAGUUUGCGGCUCAACCGUAAAAUUGCAGUUGAUACUGGUUUCCUUGAGUGCAGUUGAGGCAGGCGGAAUUCGUGGUGUAGCGGUGAAAUGCUUAGAUAUCACGAAGAACCCCGAUUGCGAAGGCAGCUUGCUAAACUGUAACUGACGUUCAUGCUCGAAAGUGUGGGUAUCAAACAGGAUUAGAUACCCUGGUAGUCCACACGGUAAACGAUGGAUACUCGCUGUUGGCGAUAUACUGUCAGCGGCCAAGCGAAAGCAUUAAGUAUCCCACCUGGGGAGUA
rnacentral:rRNA from 1 species